AUCCAGGGAUGGGAAACGAACCCACAGUGUUCCGCUUACCGGGCAGAUGCCAUGUCCACUAGGCUACCCUGGA
rnacentral:tRNA from 1 species